CCUACGGGUGGCAGCAGUGAGGAAUAUUGGUCAAUGGGCGGAAGCCUGAACCAGCCAAGUCGCGUGAGGGAUUAAGGCCCUGCGGGUCGUAAACCUCUUUUGCCGGGGAGCAGAGGUCCGGACGUGUCCGGGCCGGGAGAGUACCCGGAGAAAAAGCAUCGGCUAACUCCGUGCCAGCAGCCGCGGUAAUACGGAGGAUGCGAGCGUUAUCCGGAUUUACUGGGUGUAAAGGGAGCGUAGACGGUUAUGUAAGUCUGGAGUGAAAGCCCGGGGCCCAACCCCGGGACUGCUUUGGAAACUGUGUAACUGGAGUACAGGAGGGGCAGGCGGAAUUCCUGGUGUAGCGGUGAAAUGCGUAGAUAUCAGGAGGAACACCGGCGGCGAAGGCGGCCUACUGGACUGAAACUGACGUUGAGGCUCGAAAGCGUGGGGAGCAAACAGGAUUAGAUACCCCAGUAGUC
rnacentral:rRNA from 1 species